rnacentral:lncRNA from 1 species
CUCUGAACAUCCCAUGGGCUCUCAAGGCUGAUUUCUGUGCAAGCAGGAGUUGUUACUUUGGCAAAUGAAUAUUCAGCCAUGUGCUUAGAAAUCUCAUUUUCUCCCCUGGUACAAAGUGGGAACAACUGCAUGCAUUCUUGUUACGUUGUAAUUCCUGCAACAGGGGAUCCUAAUGCAGUGUUGCUUGGUGCCUUGUGAACUCCAGCACUGGCUAUUUUCAUCUUUAAGCCACAGUUAAUCCAUGACCUUAGUGCUUUUGUCUCCGGGUCUGAAUUAUCAUGGCAAUGCCGAAUAAGUAUUCCUAUGGGGAAAGCAAAAAUGCUUUUCUGGGUGUUUAGGAUUCCUGCCAAGUGGACACAAAGUCAAUUGAAGCAGAAAGGUACCCCACACUCUGCAGUGGCCACUGCAAUGGCAAGUCCUGGAUCCCUCUUCUCUUGGAGCAGCUCAGCAGAGGAGCACAAAGACAUCAGUGCUGGCAUGGCUCACCCAGCAGCACACCUCUGGAAGACUGAAUGCUGCUCAGGCAACUCCACUCACUCCCCCAGCAUUGCUCAAGGCCUGCUACUCCCAUGCACGCCCCACCUAAAGAGCAGGAUGUGGCCUAUGUUUCCCGAUCUCAACCAGGCUAUGGCCCAUGCUCAGCCGCAGCAUAUCCCUCUUUUCCAAAGACCAAAAGUGUUGGGGCACAUGCGAACAUGGUGAGAAUGUUCUAGAAGACUGACAGGGGUUCAGUAAUCCCAGCAGCCCAACAGACUGGCACCACAGCACAGGAGCUGAAAUUGCAUUGAUGGUAAGGCAGAGAAGGCUGAGAAAAUAAGGCACUCUCACCGUGAUGCAGUGAUGUUUCAAGAUACCCAUUUAUUUUUCUUCCUCCGGAAGCCCCAGGACCACGGUGGCUUUUCAGGCUGUAUCAGGACACAGCAGAGCAUGGGAAGGGUGGGGAUGUCAUGCUCCUUCAUGAUCAGCCAGAGAAGGCUGCACAGCACCCCAGCAGGCUUCGCAGAUUGCAGUUAGCUGAGAAUAGUUUGGUGUCUUUCCUAUUCUGAGGACUUCUUUCUCAAUGUGUGUGUGAACGAGCAAGCAAUCAGCCAUUAGGACAGGAAGCUCACAGAACGGCUUGGGUUGGAAGGGACCCUAAAGAUCAUGUAGUUAUUUGCUGCACAAGCAUCACGUGUGGUGCAGGCUCGCUCACAACAGGUGAGUGCGUGGAGAUGCAGAGAUGCAGCCUUGUCUAGCUAUUCUGAAGAGCAGUUCCUUUGCAGAUGACUGCUUGCACCAGUUUUAAAGCUGGAUGCAAGAGACCCAUUGCUGUUGUUAGAGCUGGCUGUAUGCUGGCAACCCAAGGCUGGAAGCACUCUGGCUUUGCUGAGCCCAAGAAGGCAGCAUGAGUGAAUUACCUUAAAUUAAACACAGUUCAUACACAGAGGCAUAACAGAGGCACAGUGGGAGCUUUGUGCCGUUACAGGUUGCAUUAGAGAUGUGCUGAUGUAGAACUCUACCAGUGUGAAGACUCCUGCACAGCACUCAGCUGAGAUGUGACCUUUUCCUCCUGGUGAGCCUGCAGCAGCUACGCACGGCUUUGCAGGUGAUGAUCUGCUCACAUGUUCUUCUGUACUCAUCAAAUAAAAUCUACUAACAGCUGCAUAGGGCUUCAGCAUUUAGUUUAGAAUACUUGGGAGGCACUGUUUUGUCUAGAAGUGAAUUCUGAACUGAUUACUUUAAGGCUUUCCCUUACUGCAGAAAGUAGUGGUGCUUCUGUUCUUUGUUCCAAGGGAAGUGCAGGUGGUGGGAACUUGCACUUCCACAUCUCUUUUCUUUUGCCUCGAAAUUUCACAGCACCUUUCCUCAUGCUGGGGGAAAGAACAACCGAUGCCCGAGUGUGAGGGACAGCAGGAGACAAUGUUGAGUUGCACCUGGCUUUAAAGGAUGGCUACAAUUUUUAUCUAAAGCUUCCAAAUUGUAAAACAAAUAAACAAACUAAAAGAAAAGAAGACACCUUUUAGAUAAGGCAAUAAUGUUUCUUUUCCCUCAGGAUGCUGAAAACAGCACAACACGAAAACAACUCCAAAUGAAGUUGCUUAAAGUGCUUCCUAUCUGAGAAACGCAGGGGGAAAGUGAUGCUAUCAAAAGUGUUGCACGUGGGAUUCUUUGAGUAUGCGUUCACUUCUUCAAGAUUCCAUACCCGGCAUUUUUCUUUCUUUUUUUUUUUUAAUGCAACAAAACUCUGCUGCCUGUGAGUGAGGAAGUGGCUCUUCCUCCCAGGACCUCGCUCUGC